GAGGGCGUGGCGAUAGUUUUCUCCCUUUUUUUUUCUCUUUGCACGCGGGCGGGCCGAGGAACUGGUGGGCUGGAGGCCCGUGGAGCUCGGGCUCCCCUUUCCUUUUUUUCCUUGCGCGCGGGCAGGCCGAGGCCUUCGGCCUGGGCGGCUUGACCUCUCUUCCCGUUUUUUUUGCUAGCUAGUCUCUUUGUGAUUUCCCCGUACUUCCUACUAACCGUUGUUGGUUCCUUGUUUGCAUAGGUGAGAUGGCGGGUCCCGACGCCGAGCCUGCGACCGAGAGGGGGGCGUCCAAGGGCUCCGCGGCGGAGCGUGCGAUGAAUUGACCGUCGAGGAAGAAGAAAGUCACCUUUCGCCCGCGUGGG
rnacentral:lncRNA from 1 species